rnacentral:lncRNA from 1 species
CACAAAUCACACAGCUUUGCCCAGCAUCCUGUGAGCCUCAAAACCACAGGCACAUGAUUAUGCUGAACUGCUCUCAGAGGGAGGCUUGAUGGAGCCAUGAAGAAGAGGUAGAAACAAAAUAGCAGACAGGAAAAAGUAUCUGCAGCAAAGAAACAGCAUGGGUGAAGUCCUGCAGAAAGGCAGUUGGACCAAGGCAAGAUGACCUGCAGAAACUCUGCCAGUGAUAAAACGGAUGCAUCUCUCAACUGACAAAAUAACCACAAAAUCUCUGCUUUUCAUGCCUGUGCCCAGUGUUUGAGGAUGAUGGAAAUCACAGAGAUAAAACACCUAAUACAUUCAUCUGUUUGCAGAAAAGGUUGCAUCUAAUUAGUAGGUAUAAUGUUAAUUCUGACAUAAAUUACAGAAUAAAAUAAUGGACAUGAACAUAAUACAAAAAUGCUAAGGCUGAACAAAUAAAAGAUUAAGAAAAUUUCAAGAUAAAAGGAGGCUUUAGCAAAAGAUACAAAAUGAACAUCUGAACUGGAUUAUUUUUAACCUCUGACUAUUCUAACACAUGUCCUGUAUCUGUG